UCUCCGUAGGUGAACCUGCGGAGGGAUCAUUACUGAGUGAGGGCCCUCGUGGUCCGACCUCCAACCCAUUGUUGUCCGACUCUGUUGCCUCGGGGGCGACCCGGGCCCGUCGGCUCGGGGCCCCCGACGGACAAUUUCAAACACUGCAUCUUUGCGUCGGAUUACAAAGUUUAAUGAAUUAAAACUUUCAACAACGGAUCUCUUGGUUCUGGCAUCGAUGAAGAACGCAGC
rnacentral:misc_RNA from 1 species